rnacentral:rRNA from 1 species
AUUGAACGCUGGCGGCAGGCCUAACACAUGCAAGUCGAGCGGAUGAAGGGAGCUUGCUCCUGGAUUCAGCGGCGGACGGGUGAGUAAUGCCUAGGAAUCUGCCAGGUAGUGGGGGAUAACGUCCGGAAACGGGCGCUAAUACCGCAUACGUCCUGAGGGAGAAAGUGGGGGAUCUUCGGACCUCACGCUAUCAGAUGAGCCUAGGUCGGAUUAGCUAGUUGGUGGGGUAAAGGCCUACCAAGGCGACGAUCCGUAACUGGUCUGAGAGGAUGAUCAGUCACACUGGAACUGAGACACGGUCCAGACUCCUACGGGAGGCAGCAGUGGGGAAUAUUGGACAAAGGGCGAAAGCCUGAUCCAGCCAUGCCGCGUGUGUGAAGAAGGUCUUCGGAUUGUAAAGCACUUUAAGUUGGGAGGAAGGGCAGUAAGUUAAUACCUUGCUGUUUUGACGUUACCAACAGAAUAAGCACCGGCUAACUUCGUG